GAUGAACGCUGGCGGCGUGCCUAAUACAUGCAAGUCGAGCGAACGGACGAGAAGCUUGCUUCUCUGAUGUUAGCGGCGGACGGGUGAGUAACACGUGGAUAACCUACCUAUAAGACUGGGAUAACUUCGGGAAACCGGAGCUAAUACCGGAUAAUAUUUUGAACCGCAUGGUUCAAAAGUGAAAGACGGUCUUGCUGUCACUUAUAGAUGGAUCCGCGCUGCAUUAGCUAGUUGGUAAGGUAACGGCUUACCAAGGCAACGAUGCAUAGCCGACCUGAGAGGGUGAUCGGCCACCCUGGAACUGGGACACGGUCCAGACUCCUACGGGAGGCAGCAGUAGGGAAUCUUCCGCAAUGGGCGAAAGCCUGACGGAGCAACGCCGCGUGAGUGAUGAAGGUCUUCGGAUCGUAAAACUCUGUUAUUAGGGAAGAACAUAUGUGUAAGUAACUGUGCACAUCUUGACGGUACCUAAUCAGAAAGCCACGGCUAACUACGUG
rnacentral:rRNA from 1 species